UUCAUAUAGAAUACGAAAGAAGAGAAAAUGAUGAGGAAUGUAUAAAGUUAUAAAUGACAGCGAAAUCGGCCGCACCGGUCGUCAAGAGCUGUGGCACAAGGGUCAUACAUGGUCGAUCGUUUCACCUGGCUAGGUUCAGAGUUCCCUCGAUCAGGGCUACCCAGAGUGGGUACCAGGCCAAUUUAGAGCCAGUGGUGUUCUUCAGCCCAAGAGUCAGGUUGCUUGGGAACGCAGCCCAAAGCGGGUGGUAAGCUCCAUCCAAGGCUAAAUACGGGGACGAGUUCGAUAGCCGACAAGUACCGCGAGGGAAGGUUGAAAAGAACUUUGGAGAGAGAGUUCAAGAGACCGUGAAACCACCCUGGGGUAAACGGGUAGGACCGCUCACCACAAUCGUGAGGGGAGUCAAUCUACUGCUUCCUACCGAGGUGCCGGUGGCAGCUGCUUGUUCCGCGGGUGGUUGUCUGUCGCCUUGUCGGCAGCAUGCCAGCAUGGAAGAUGGAUGUUAAAUGACGAUGGUGACGAGAAGGCAUCAGGUUUGUACUGACAGCAGUCAAAAAUUACAUGCUUUCUUAUCUGUUAAUCAUCAUCAUCAUCAUCGUCGUUUAACGUCCGCUUUCCAUGCUAGCAUGGGUUGGACGAUUUGACUGAGGACUGGUGAAACCAG
rnacentral:ncRNA from 1 species